AUACUUACCUGGACGGGGUCAAUGGGCGUUCAAUAAGACCCAUGGCCUAGGUUUGUGACCUCCAUUGCACUUUGGAGGGGUGCUUACCUAAGGUCGGCCCAAGUGGUCGAGCCUUCGUCAUAAUUUGUUGCAGUGGGGGCCUGCGUUCGCGCAGCCCCUAC
rnacentral:snRNA from 2 species